GUUCAACAGCCUGUUUCAAGCAGAGAUUUCAAAUUGAGCUGAGAAGUUACAAAACACAAAAAGCUGAUGCCGAUGGGGGAAUAUGAUGAAAGAUGGGAAAGUUGAACGCCUGACUUGGACCUUCUGGCCCCUCGAGUGAAAGUUCUAACCAAGGUAGUAGAAAACUACAAGGCUUGUUGCACGCUCAAGUGUCGGUCGAGUGAGAGCAAGGAUGCAGGACAAGCUCUGCAGGUAAGUGUUCAAUGAUGUC